GCGACAGGCUUAACACAUGCAAGUCGAGGGGCAGCACAGGUAGCAAUACCGGGUGGCGACCGGCGCACGGGUGAGUAACGCGUAUGCAACUUACCUAUCAGAGGGGGAUAACCCGGCGAAAGUCGGACUAAUACCGCAUGAAGCAGGGGCCCCGCAUGGGGAUAUUUGCUAAAGAUUCAUCGCUGAUAGAUAGGCAUGCGUUCCAUUAGGCAGUUGGCGGGGUAACGGCCCACCAAACCGACGAUGGAUAGGGGUUCUGAGAGGAAGGUCCCCCACAUUGGUACUGAGACACGGACCAAACUCCUACGGGAGGCAGCAGUGAGGAAUAUUGGUCAAUGGCCGAGAGGCUGAACCAGCCAAGUCGCGUGAGGGAUGAAGGUUCUAUGGAUCGUAAACCUCUUUUAUAAGGGAAUAAAGUGCGGGACGUGUCCCGUUUUGUAUGUACCUUAUGAAUAAGGAUCGGCUAACUCCGUGCCAGCAGCCGCGGUAAUACGGAGGAUCCGAGCGUUAUCCGGAUUUAUUGGGUUUAAAGGGUGCGUAGGCGGCCUUUUAAGUCAGCGGUGAAAGUCUGUGGCUCAACCAUAGAAUUGCCGUUGAAACUGGGGGGCUUGAGUAUGUUUGAGGCAGGCGGAAUGCGUGGUGUAGCGGUGAAAUGCAUAGAUAUCACGCAGAACCCCGAUUGCGAAGGCAGCCUGCCAAGCCAUGACUGACGCUGAUGCACGAAAGCGUGGGGAUCAAACAGGAUUAGAUACCCUGGUAGUCCACGCAGUAAACGAUGAUCACUAGCUGUUUGCGAUACACUGUAAGCGGCACAGCGAAAGCGUUAAGUGAUCCACCUGGGGAGUACGCCGGCAACGGUGAAACUCAAAGGAAUUGACGGGGGCCCGCACAAGCGGAGGAACAUGUGGUUUAAUUCGAUGAUACGCGAGGAACCUUACCCGGGUUUGAACGCAUUCGGACCGAGGUGGAAACACCUUUUCUAGCAAUAGCCGUUUGCGAGGUGCUGCAUGGUUGUCGUCAGCUCGUGCCGUGAGGUGUCGGCUUAAGUGCCAUAACGAGCGCAACCCUUGCCACUAGUUACUAACAGGUAAAGCUGAGGACUCUGGUGGGACUGCCAGCGUAAGCUGCGAGGAAGGCGGGGAUGACGUCAAAUCAGCACGGCCCUUACAUCCGGGGCGACACACGUGUUACAAUGGCGUGGACAAAGGGAGGCCACCUGGUGACAGGAAGCGAAUCCCCAAACCACGUCUCAGUUCGGAUCGGAGUCUGCAACCCGACUCCGUGAAGCUGGAUUCGCUAGUAAUCGCGCAUCAGCCAUGGCGCGGUGAAUACGUUCCCGGGCCUUGUACACACCGCCCGUCAAGCCAUGGGAGCCGGGGGUACCUGAAGUCCGUAACCGAAAGGAUCGGCCUAGGGUAAAACUGGUGACUGGGGCUAAGUAA
rnacentral:rRNA from 1 species